AGUUCUCGGCAAGGAUCUGCAGCUCUUUAUAGCUCCCACGUGGACGCGCGUGUAAAAACAAGACUCGAUCACGUCUACGCGCUUCCGUUUCUAGAAGCAGCGUCAGCAGGUCUCCUCUCGUUCCGCGUGCGGCGGCACCGCCGGCCCGGGACUCAGGAGUCGCUGCCUUGUUGUUAUUUCAUCAUUCAUGGUCACUCACAUCUCUGUUGUUUAGAUCCGUAAACGGGCGGAGUGUCCUCGGGGUGCUGGGCUAUUACCGAAACCCCUCCAGAUGGGCCCCGCGAAGGUCAUCUCCAUGUCAUGAUGCAGCGAUAUUCAGAAAACACCACAAAUGGACACGUGUCAGCGGGGCAGUUCAAGGCUGAGUAGAGCUUGCGCGAGGGUACCGAGGACGUGGGACUCGAACCAGCAACUAUUUGGUUAACUGGGAUGCGUGCGACCCAAAAACUGCGGGAGUGAAAGUUUCACAGGGAACUUCGUUGUCGAGAACUCGGCAAGCAGCAGUAAUGUGUUGUCACAAAAUAACUCGGCCGAUGUUGUGCGACCUGCGGUUUGACCCGCGCCCCUCUGUGGAACUGUGCCCUUAGUGACACCUAUCGGCCAAUAUGAGGAACUGCAACCAAAACUUAAAGACCAGCACACCCCAGUUCCACCCCACGGCUAUCAGAUGUCCUCUGUGCCAAAAGGACCAAAGUCUGGGCUGCAGAGCCACGAUGGUGGAAAUCAAAGGAUCUCACAGACCUGGAAGUUUACAAGGAUCUCCUAGAAACCUUCCACUCUGCUGUUUCUUCAGCUAAAACCACCUUCAUCCACAACAAACUGCAGUCUGCAAUUAGCAAACCACACAGGCUCUUUGUCUCCUUCUCCCUCCUCUCUCACUACUGACAAUUUCGCCUUGUUUUUCAGAGACAAAGUCAACUCCAUCGUCGACAUGUUCUCUGCGACCACCUGCUCCCAUCAUGCUGGACCUCCCUGUGAAGUCACUUUCUCCUCAUUUAAUCCCAACCUCCUGCUGUCACACAGUGACCACCUGCUCCUUCAAACCAAUCCCUUCACCACUCCUACAGGAAAUUUCCCCACAACUCACCUCCUUCAUCUCCAAGAUCAUCAACUCUUCACUCUUCAGGCUGCUUCCCAGAAACUCUGGAACGGGCAACCUGUGAUCAGUUAUCUGCAUUCCUCACCCAGAAUGAUCUCCUCAAUGGGUAUCAGUCUAGAUUCAAAGCUGGAUAUUCCACUGAGACAGCUCUCUUGGCAGUGUGAAAUGUUCUCCAGUUCGCUAGUGACCUCCCUCUCCUCAGUCCUCAUCCUCCUCAACCUGUCUGCAGCAUUAGAUACUGUCAAUCACCA